GAAGGCCAUCACCACUACUGCAGAUCAAAACAACUUAGAUCUGAGAGACAGACCCCUUGCAAAGAUAGAGUAUCUUCCUGAUCCAGACCGAGGCCAGCUAAAGGCAGGUCCCAGCGCUCGCGUUAUUUUGAGAGAGGGUCCCGAAGCCCGCCGGAGGCCAGUUCUCGCGGGCGGGCCUCGGGGCUAAACUCUCGUUUGGUGAGGGGAAGCGCGCAAGUCUCCAGGCCCGGUGCGCCAUCACGGAGAAAGGGCAGCGGCCCGGGGCCCCGGCCCGGCUCACUUUCCUCGGAUGCCCCAGAAGCGGAGCCAGGGCUCCCUUUAGCCACCUCGAAUCUAGUUUCAGCAUCUGCCUCUCGCCCGCGCUGGCUCGGACCGGGCCUCCCGAGGGAGAGCAAGGGAGCGAAAACUCAACCUCCACCCUGGACCUCAGACCGAAGGUGUGGUUCAGGACCACGGUAGAGAAACCGUUGCCUCUCUGGGCCAAGACGGCCUGCGCUUUGCAACCCCCAAAACGCUAGGUGCGGUCGGCGCGGGGGCGAGGGCGAAAGCGAGGGUGAGGAGAGUCGCCGCCCUCCUCGCAUCCCCCGCCGCACUCUCUCUCGGGUCCAUCGGCGACCUCGGCUCACCCCCUAACACCCUCGCGAGGAAGGCUGCCCGGGGCCACAGGCGACCUGGGCCGAAGCCGGAGCCGCGCCGCGGGACUCGGGAGCCAGAGCAAGGCGGUGGCUCGGACCCCGUUCCUGAAAACGCUCGACUCCUCCAGGAUUUGUCAAGUACUAAGCAGCUCCAGGAAGGCUCCGCGAGCUUUCGGAGAAACCCACUGUGUGGCUCACCCCUGUUGGUCUCUCUCGAGCCCUCGCCUUCCUCCCCUCUCCAGAUUCACCGCCCUCCCCAGGUCGCGGGCCCCGCGGGCUGAGCCCGCCAAGCCGGCAGAAGCGCGGUUUUAGACAGAGCGAAGGAGCCCCCUGCUGGCCAGACGCGGCAGGCGCGGCGACCCAGCUCCGGGUUUCCUCCACCCGGCGGCCGCGGCCCCGCCCUGACCCACCUCGACCCUCCCACGCCCCCGGCGCUGGGGCGUGUCCAGAGACACAGAAAACAAAACAAAACAAAGCGCCAAAAGCCACUCUCACCUGUCGACUGCUCAAAGGUUCAAGCUCUGUCAUGAAUGUAGUCUUCACCACCACCACCAAGACCAGCUGGCAGACCGAAGUAGUUUCCCAUGUGCUCAUGAAAGAAUGGGUGUUGUAACAUAGCUUUCCUAGAAGCAAAUACUGUUAAGCUUUUGCUUAUCUAAACAUGUUGGCCAGGAGGAGGUUAAACUUUCACUCUUCGCAGAGGACAUGAUACUCUAUUUGGAAAACCCAAAAGAUUCCACCAAAAAACUGCUAGCUCUGAUUCAUGAAUUCAGCAAAGUUGCAGGAUAUAAAAUCAAUGCACAGAAAUCAGUUGCAUUCCUAUACACCAACAAUGAAGUGACAGAAAGAGAAAUCAAGGAAUCGGUCCCAUUUACAGUUGCACACAAAGCCAUAAAAUACCUAGGAAUAAAUCUAACCAAAGAGGUGAAAAAUCUGUACACUGAAAACUAUAGAAAGCCUAUGAAAGAAACUGAAGAAGACACAAAAAAAUGGAAAAAGAUUCCAUGCUCCUGGAUAGUAAGAAUAUUGUUAAAAUGUUGAUACUACCCAAAGCAGUCUACAUAUUCAGUGCAAUCCCUAUCAAAGUAACACCACCUUUCUUCACAGAGCUAGAACAAAUAAUCCUGAAAUUUGUAUGGAACCAGAAAAGACCCCAAAUAGCCAAAGCAAUCUUGAAAAAGAAAACCAAAGCAGGAGACCUCACAAUCCCAGACUUCAGCCUAUGCUACAAAGCUAUAAUCAUCAAGACAGUAUGGUACUGGCAUAAGAGCAGACACUCAGAUCAAUGAAACAGAAUAGAGAACCCAGAAAUGGACCCACAAACGUAUGGCCAAUUAAUCUUUGACAAAGCAGGAAAGAAUAUCCAAUGGAAUAAAGACAGUCUCUUCAGCAAGUGGUGCUGGGAAAACUGGACAGAGACAUGCAGAAGAAUGAACCUGGACCACUUUCUUACACCAUACACAAAAAUAAACUCAAAAUGGAUGAAAAACUUAAAUGUAAGACAGGAAGCCACCAAAAUCCUAGAGGAGAAAGCAGGCAAAAACCUCUUUGAUCUUGGCCACAGCAACUUGUUACUCAACACGUCUCUGGAGAAAAGGGAAACAAAAGCAAAAAUGAACUACUGGGACCUCAUCAAAAUAAAAAGCUUCUGCGCAGUGAAGGAAAAUAUCAACAAAACUAUAAGGCAACCGACAGAAUGGGAGAAGAUAUUUGCAAAUGACAUAUCAGAUAAAGGGUUACUAUCCAAAAUCUAGAAAGAACUUAUCAAACUCAACACCCAAAAAAACAAAUAAUCCAGUGAAGAAAUGGGUGAAAGACAUGAAUAGACACUUCUCCAAGGAAGACAUCCAGAUGGCCAACCGACACAUGAAAAAAUGCUCAACAUCACUCAUCAUCAGGGAAAUAAAAAUCAAAACCACAAUGAGAUACCACCUCAUAGAAUGGCUAACAUUAACAACUCAGGCAACAACAGAUGAUGGUGAGGAUGUGGAGAAAGAGGAUCUCUGUUGCACUGUUGGUGGCAAUGCAAGCUGGUGCAGCCACUCUGGAAAACAGUAUGGAGGUUCCUCAAAAAUCUAAAAAUAAAACUACCCUACAACCCAGGAAUUACAGUACUAGACAUUUAUCCAAGGGAUACAGGUGUGCUGUUUCGAAGGGACACAUGCACCCCCAUGUUUAUAACAGCACAAUCAACAAUAGCCAAAGUAUGGAAAGAGCCCAAAUGUCCAUCAAUGGAUGAAUGGAUAAAGAAGGUGUGGCAAAUAUAUACAAUGGAGUAUUACUCAGCAAUCAAAAAGAAUGAAAUCUUGCCAUUUGCAACUAUGUGGAUGGAACUGGAGGGUAUUAUGCUAAGCGAAAUUAGUCAGAGAAAGAUAAAAAUCAUAUGACUUCACUCAUAUGAGGACCUUAAGAGACAAAACAGAUGAACAUAAGGGGAGGGAGACAAAAAUAAUAUAAAAACAGGGAGGGGGAUAAAACAGAAGAGACUCAUAAAUAUGGAGAACAAACUGAGGGUUGCUGGAGGGGUUGUGGGAGAGGGGAUGGGCUAAAUGGGUAAGGGACAUUAAGGAAUCUGCUCCUGAAAUCAUUGUUUCACUAUAUGCUAACUAAUUUGGAUGUAAAUUUUGAAAAAUAAAAAAUAAAAUUAGAAAAAAAU